rnacentral:rRNA from 1 species
GAUGAACGCUGGCGGCGUGCUUAACACUUGCAAGUCGAACGGAAAGGCCUCUGCUUGCAGGGGUACUCGAGUGGCGAACGGGUGAGUAACACGUGGGUGAUCUGCCCUGCACUUCGGGAUAAGCCUGGGAAACUGGGUCUAAUACCGGAUAGGACAAUGGUUUGGAUGCUGUUGUGGAAAGUUUUUCGGUGUGGGAUGAGCUCGCGGCCUAUCAGCUUGUUGGUGGGGUAAUGGCCUACCAAGGCGUCGACGGGUAGCCGGCCUGAGAGGGUGUACGGCCACAUUGGGACUGAGAUACGGCCCAGACUCCUACGGGAGGCAGCAGUGGGGAAUAUUGCACAAUGGGCGCAAGCCUGAUGCAGCGACGCCGCGUGGGGGAUGACGGCCUUCGGGUUGUAAACUCCUUUCGCUAGGGACGAAGCGUUUUUGUGACGGUACCUGGAGAAGAAGCACCGGCUAACUACGUG